rnacentral:tRNA from 1 species
GCGGGCGUGCCGGAACGGUAGACGGAAGGGUCUUAAAAACCCUCGGCCCUUGGCCAUGCGGGUUCGAUCCCCGCCGCCCGCACCA